GAUGAACGCUGGCGGCGUGCUUAACACAUGCAAGUCGAACGAAGCACUUUAACCUGAUUCUUCGGAUGAAGGUUUUUGUGACUGAGUUGCGGACGGGUGAGUAACGCGUGGGUAACCUGCCUCAUACAGGGGGAUAACAGAUAGAAAUGACUGCUAAUACCGCAUAAGACCACAGAGCCGCAUGGCUCGGUGGGAAAAACUCCGGUGGUAUGAGAUGGACGCGCGUCUGAUUAGGUAGUUGGUGGGGUAACGGCCUACCAAGCCAACGAUCAGUAGCCGAGCUGAGAGGGUGACCGGCCACAGUGGGACUGAGCCACGGCCCAAACUCCUACGGGAGGCAGCAGUGGGGAAUAUUGCAAAAUGGGGGAAAUCCUGAUGCAGCGACGCCGCGUGAGCGAAGAAGGAUGUCGGUAUGUAAAGCUCUAUAAGCAGGGAAGAAAAUGACGGUACCUGAAGAAGAAGCACCGGCUAAAUACGUG
rnacentral:rRNA from 1 species